rnacentral:rRNA from 1 species
GAUGAACGCUGGCGGCGUGCCUAAUACAUGCAAGUCGAGCGAACAGACGAGGAGCUUUCUCCUCUGACGUUGUCAGCGGACGGAUCAGUAACACGUGGAUAACAUAACUAUACGACUGGGGUAACUUCGGGAAACCGGAGCUAAUACCGAAUAAUAUAUUGACCCGCAUGGUUCCAUAGUGAAAUACGGUUUUUUUGUCGCUAAUAGAUGGGCACGCGUCGCAUGAGCUAGUUGGUAGGGUAAAAGCCUACCAAGGCGACGAUCCAUAGCUGGCCUGAGAGGAUGAUAAGCCACACUGGGACUGAGACACGGCCCAGACUCCUACGGGAGGCAGCAGUGGGGAAUAUUGGACAAUGGGCGAAAGCCUGAUCCAGCAAUGCCGCGUGAGUGAUGAAGGCCUUAGGGUUGUAAAGCUCUUUUACCCGGGAUGAUAAUGACAGUACCGGGAGAAUAAGCUCCGGCUAACUCCGU